ensembl:lncRNA
UUCCUUUGCCAUUAAAAAGGCAAGGCAGCAAGUGCGCCUGCCUUGAGGAAAAACUGCUGUACAGCUCACUGCAUAAAUAUGCGUGUGCAUAUGUGGCAUAAUGGUCUGUGCAUAGGCAUGCACCUACAAAUAGGGAAGCAAACUCUUUGUUGCAAGAGCUGUGAACUUCCCUGAGUAAUUAACUGUGCUUUUAGUGCAUCUCCUUGGAUCUGCAGUGAGUAGCAGAGGCAAAGCCUCUUUUAAAUCUUCAAGUGUCAAACUCAGAGAUAGCAGCUAGCUAAGCUGAGGCACUAAGAGAAGCAGAAAUGUCACUGUAAUAGCUUGUGUCUCUUUGGUGCUGUUAAAAAAAAAAACAACUGUGCCAGUGGACAGAGUUAUCCACAGAGCAAAAAACUAAUUCUCAUGAGAUUAUUUGGCUUUGUGUACCCAAAGGCAUUUGAUGCAACUGUGUGUGUGGAUAGAUAGACACUGUUCUUCUGUUUUGGCGUGGUUACAUAAACGUGUGACAACGUAAUAUUUAGGGGAAAAGUAAUCCAUGCCUACCUUUGUUUCCUGUCCUGCUGUGAGCAUUUUGCAAGCCAGCAGGUGCGCUUGGACUGCUCCCCCAGUAGAGAGAGGUCCUGUAUGAAACCUGGCAGAUGUUGCUGGAUUCAUACCUGCACAGAUACCAAAGUGCCCAGAAGAAACAGCUUCAUUCAGAUCAUUCACUUAAAACACUUUCUGAAUCCCAUUUGCGUGGGAAUGUCAAACUAAUUCGACUGUCCGGCAUUAAUCCACGUGGCUGUGAGGCUUGGGAUGUCCCACACAUCUGGGCUACAGGGCCUCAUGCACCAGGAGAUCUGUGCUCUCAAAGAAAUAAUCAAACAACAGGCUCCUCAUGACAGAGAGCUAACCUCUGAGCUUCUACCAAUCAACACACAAAAAAAUAAAUGCAUGAGAAUAAAGUUAUUUAGGAUAAGGGAAGCUAGUCCUUUGUUGGUUUGAUGUGUUACUUCAUGGGUGGCCAACCUUUUGGCUUGCCUGGGCCGCACUGAGUGAAGAGGAACUGUCUUGCUCUGCAGACACAUAAGCUGCUCCAAAAGUAAUGCCUCCUAUUUAUUUCCAUGGAAACUACAACAGAGACAAAGCACAAUAACACUGUUUGAUAGAGCAAAUUCUCAGCCACAAAACACUGUUUCUCAGCAUAGUCACCACCACUAGCCAUGCAUUUUCACCAGCAGUGAACAAGAACCCACACGCCGUGCUCAUAAGAAUCUAUACCAGUGGAGGUGACACCACCCACUGCUUGGUCUCCAGAAAUGGUCAGCAAGCACCAGUGCCACUGGCUGCCAU